UGCUUUCGAUACGGGUUGACUUGAGGAAGGUAGGGGAGAAUGGAAUUCCUGGUGGAGCGGUGGAAUGCGCAGAUAUCAGGAGGAACACCAGUGGCGAAGGCGGUUCUCUGGGCCUUUCCUGACGCUGAGGAGCGAAAGCGUGGGGAGCGAACAGGCUUAGAUACCCUGGUAGUCCACGCUGUAAACGGUGGGUACUAGGUGUGGGGUCCUUCCAGGGUUCCGUGCCGUAGCUAACGCUUUAAGUACCCCGCCUGGGGAGUACGGCCGCAAGGCUAAAACUCAAAGGAAUUGACGGGGCCCCGCACAAGCGGCGGAGCAUGCGGAUUAAUUCGAUGCAACGCGUAGAACCUUACCUGGGUUUGACAUGAUCGGGAGUGCUCAGAGAUGGGUGUGCCUCUUUUGGGGUCGGUUCACAGGUGGUGCAUGGCUGUCGUCAGCUCGUGUCGUGAGAUGUUGGGUUAAGUCCCGCAACGAGCGCAACCCUUGUUCACUGUUGCCAGCACGUUAUGGUGGGGACUCAGUGGAGACCGCCGGGGUCAACUCGGAGGAAGGUGGGGAUGACGUCAAGUCAUCAUGCCCCUUAUGUCCAGGGCUUCACGCAUGCUACAAUGGCUGGUACAGAGAGUGGCGAGCCUGUGAGGGUGAGCGAAUCUCGGAAAGCCGGUCUCAGUUCGGAUUGGGGUCUGCAACUCGACCUCAUGAAGUCGGAGUCGCUAGUAAUCGCAGAUCAGCACGCUGCGGUGAAUACGUUCCCGGGGCUCA
rnacentral:rRNA from 1 species